UUCCCGUUCCCCAAUUUGGUAUUCGGCGGUUACUGGGGGCUGGACUGCGACUCUGCGAGGCAAUUUUGCGGGACUCCACCGUCUGCGGCGAGGCGGCGACCGAUCAGCGAGGAGGCAGUGAUCGAUGGUGAGGUUAGUGGUUCUUACUCUUCUAGUGUAGCAGUGGUGUAGCCGUGUACUACUGUACUCUUGUAGCAGUGGCGGCCUUUGGUGUAGUCUGCUGCUGUCUGAUCUGUGGCGGCGGAGGCUGCUGCCGCAUCGGACGGUGGCGGCGGGGGCUGCUGCUGCCUCGGACGGUGAUAUUGUCACAACUCUAACACUCUCUAACUGUCCACGAGUUAUGGAUCACCUUGAUGCUGGAACAAAUAAAAUUAUGGCAAAAAUUAUAAUUGAAAACAUUAUGAAUAGGGAAACAUGUGUGUCUACCGCUGACAAGGUUGAGGUUUUGUUUGAAUUGAUAUAGGAGCUCAUCAAAGUUUUGGAUGAAAGUACUACAGAAUGAGCUAGGAAGAUUUCAAGGAGGAACAAAAUUCUGUUGCUGGACUAAUACACAUGCUUAUAAUGAUGAUUCAGAAGAGAUGCUAAAGGUUGCCUUCAAGUUAUAAGUAAUUAGUUGAUGACGUGGAGGUGAUUUGUUAUUGACAUGUUUUAAUUUGUAGGGGUGGUAGCUAUUUCAUCACUUCGCUCUAAUAAACUCAAAAAUGAAAUAUGAAACCGAACUCUAAAUACAAUUCGCUUAAGGCAUACCUGACCAU